UCUAUUCCAAAUAACUCAGAUUCAUCCUCAAAACGAAAUCAACGGCAUCCCAAAAGCAAGUAACCAAUACUUUCGCUUUUUACUCUCUCUCUGUAGAGAUUCAAAAGCAUUUGAGUUUCUUUCUUUUCUCUUGUAUUUUUCUAUCUUUCUUUUUUCAAAAACCCAACUCAACUCUUUUUAUCGUUCUCAUUCAAAAAACAGUCAUAAAUACAUUUUUAAGUUUUAACAACAAUGGAGGAGGAUGGUAAUCAAUGGCACCGACGUUUCUUGGCAAAACCAAAGCUCCAGUUCUCACUCUCACUCUCACUACAAUUCGCCUCUUUUGCCCAGCUAUCAUAUGCAAACUUCUACUAUGGCUGAUCUAGAUCCAUAUGAGGCAUCUGUGGCCGCUCCUAAAAGUUGGCAGAGGCACUAGGACUGAAAGGGAUGUUGCUGUUGUGGCCAAUUUGAGUGCCAGGGUGGGAUCCAUCGGAGACAAUCGCCUUGGGGGUUGGCACUCUUACCGAUCUUCAAAGGCUGCACUUAAUCAGUGUAUGAAUUCUUCCUUGAAGGCUUAGCAUGGAUUUUCUGGAUCAAAUACCGCAACUAAAUUUGACAUAAUUUUUUAAAUAAAAAAGGGAUGUGAUCCUUGAGGUAAUGCUCUUAGAGACGUGCUCAAGAAGUACCGAAA